rnacentral:lncRNA from 1 species
CCAAAAUAGCCAUUUAUGGAGCUUUCAACGCCUAGUUUUAAUAUGCAUAACGUCAUCUGCAUAUCAUUGCCAUGCAUAUCCCCAUCCACUUGACACCAUGUUUAACGCAGUUAAGGGUACAAUAUGUUAGGAAAAUAUGAGAGACGGACUAUAAAUGCAUUUUGAGACAUCACUAUUCUAAUUAAUGCAAUUUGCCUAAAAGGUAAACAUAUAUUUUAGAAUGUUUAUAGUCUAUAUUUUUAUGAAAAAAUAUAGGCCUUAUUUUUUUUGCAGUGUAAAUAGCUGUCUGACUCACCGCGUCAAUAACAAAACAUUUUGAAAAUAAAAUGUGCAUAUCUUUAAAUAUGGUGUUUGUCACAAUAUUGGGAAGAGCACAAAAGGUUAUCAUUAGACUGCUGUCUGUGAGCGACACCUGUGAACAGGUUAUACUGUCAUCAGUCCUUUUCAAACCAGCCGAUGGACUAUUUUAUCAAUGAGCGCAUCCUUAUGUCUGUCGUUACCUCUUGUUCAAAAGCCAUCAGACGAAUCAAGUUCACAUCAAUGAUCAUUAUUCGUGCAAAAGUAUUUUCUCAGAACAUGAGUUUUGCUAUUUAGAACACAAUUUAAAGUGGAAUUUUCAUACACUAAGCAAUCCUCGCUGUGAUUAAAACAUUUAAUAACAUAGCUUACCACAGGAAAAUAGUUCAAAAGCAGCACAUCCACUGCAAAUAUUUCUGUUUAAAUUUAUAUACAAAUUAUGUAAUUUCUGGAUACAAAUUUCAGGAAAUUUCAGUCCUUAAUUUCAUUAUUAAGAGUCAAAUUUAAUCUAAAUGUGUAUAUCAAAUGUAAAACAGACUUUAACCCUCUGGAGUCUAAGGGUAUUUUUGGGGCCUGGAGAAGUUCUGUCAUGCCCUGACAUUUGUGCUUUUUUCAGUUUCUUAUAAAUAUCUAAAUGGCUAAAGUCUAAUCUCACUGUAAUCAGCACACACUGGGCUAUAAUAAUAUGUGAGCAGCAUGUAUGUACAUGAUUGUGUUUUUGAGAAAAAAAAAUGUUAUGCGUGGUUAGUGGAAAAACUAAAAAUGUUAAAUCACUUGAAUAAGGCAAUAAAACACAUACAGAACAUUGGUCCAGGUAUUUGAGACUGGAGCUUGUAGCCUAGUAAUUUUUUUUUCAUUAGAAGAUAAUGAAGGGAGACGUGAAAAACGGACAUCGCAUUGUUUUCAUAUGGAUUACUUUAUCAGAGAAUAUUUGUUUUCAGCAAGACUUGUUUAGUUUAAAAGUAGACAUGUCAGGCUUUCUAUAGAUAUCUCUCUCGUGUCUCUUCGUUGAGUAUUCACGGAGUUACAGUUCAUUUUAAUGACGUGUUUGUAACUGAAGAUCAGCGCAGACAAAGGCUGCAGACAGCACUCCUUGUUUGUUAUCUUUAUUUUAUAAGUGCACAAAGUUUUGUUGUUAUUAUGUCUGUAUACAAAAAAAGUAGACCCUUUACAGAUUCGAUUGAUGUAUUGCACUUAUCUGUACGAUCAAAACUGAAAGUGUAAUUUAAGUUCUUUUCGGGGUUAUCAGGAGAAAAUACCCCAAAACGCGUAUACGCGUUAAUCGACUCCAGAGGGUUAAAAUCAUUCUGUUUGCAUCCUUUUUUCGCUCACUCCAGUAAAAAUGUGCAUAAGCAUGGUCUAAAGCAGGGGUGUCAAACUUAAUUCCUGGAGGGUCGGAGCCCUGCAGAGUUUUGUUCCAACCUUGUUCCAGCACACAUUCCAUGUAGUUUUCAAAUAAGCCUAAAGGACUUGACUAGUUGGAUCAGGUAUGUUUAAUUAGGGUUUAAUCUAAACUCCACAGGGCUCCGGCCCUCCCUGGCCGGAGUUUGACACCCCUGGUCUAGAGUGUCCGUACGGUGCGCACAUAUUUACGCCUAGUUUAUUUUUUAUAAAUCCCGAUUUGUGCGUGGAAAAUUUUGUGCAAGAUUUAUACAUCAGCCCCCAGAUGACUUGAAUAGAUCUAUUUGGGGAAAAAAAUCAAUGAGUGAUUUUGUAGGUGAGUAAAUCCUUACAGAAAAAACAAAAAACAAAUUACAGGCAUAGAUAAAUAGAAGAAAGAUACAAAUGAACAAUGUUUUACAUUUUUCAGGUAAGUCUAACAGUAUUCAGGUACAGAAAUUAAAUAAUCAAAUGUAAAAUAACAUGGCAAAGUCUUCACUGUAUAAAUUAAAUCUCCAUUUUCACAUCCAUUUUCUUUCUCAAUUGUUUACCUUCACCUAAGCCAUAAGCAACUGUCUUUACAAGGAUACAUGCAGAGACAUGCAUUUUGACAUAGUUUUUGCGUAUAUGUGUCAUUAAUAGACAUGGAAGUGAACGGAAUUCAGAGUUCAGCUCUCACUGUGUCUACAUUGGACGCGAGCGGCACAGCACGACGCGACAAAAUACUAUAGAACCCAAUAUAAUCAGCGAUGCAGUCUACACUGGAUGAGGUGCGACACGAC